rnacentral:rRNA from 1 species
CACGUAGGGCGCAAGCGUUGUCCGGAAUUAUUGGGCGUAAAGGGCUCGUAGGCGGUUCGUCACGUCGGGAGUGAAAACUCGGAGCUUAACUCCGAGCCUGCUUCCGAUACGGGCAGACUAGAGGUAGGCAGGGGAGAGCGGAACUCCUGGUGUAGCGGUGGAAUGCGCAGAUAUCAGGAAGAACACCUAUGGCGAAGGCAGCUCUCUGGGACGGUACUGACGCUGAGACGCGAAAGCGUGGGGAGCGAACAGG